AUUGAACGCUGGCGGCAUGCCUUACACAUGCAAGUCGAACGGCAGCACGGGUGCUUGCACCUGGUGGCGAGUGGCGAACGGGUGAGUAAUGCAUCGGAACGUGCCCGAUUGUGGGGGAUAACGCACCGAAAGGUGUGCUAAUACCGCAUAAUCUCUGAGGAGGAAAGCAGGGGAUCUUAGGACCUUGCGCAGUUGGAGCGGCCGAUGUCGGAUUAGCUAGUUGGUGAGGUAACGGCUUACCAAGGCGACGAUCCGUAGCUGGUCUGAGAGGAUGAUCAGCCACACUGGGACUGAGACACGGCCCAGACUCCUACGGGAGGCAGCAGUGGGGAAUUUUGGACAAUGGGGGGAACCCUGAUCCAGCCAUGCCGCGUGAGUGAAGAAGGUCUUCGGAUUGUAAAGCACUUUUGGCAGGGACGAUGAUGACGGUACCUGCAGAAUAAGCCCCGGCUAACUUCGUGCCAGCAGCCGCAGUAAAAC
rnacentral:rRNA from 1 species